AGUGGCAGACGGGUGAGUAACAUGUGGGUAUCUACCCUUUGGCCUGGAAUAACACGAGGAAACUUGUGCUAAUACCGGAUAAGUCUUUACGGAGAAAGCUUUAUGCACCAUUGGAUGAGCCCGCACUUGAUUAGUUUGUUGGUAGGGUAAUGGCCUACCAAGACUAUGAUCAAUAGCUGAUUUGAGAGGAUGAUCAGCCACAUUGGGACUGAGACACGGCCCAAACUCCUACGGGAGGCAGCAGUGGGGAAUCUUGCACAAUGGAGGAAACUCUGAUGCAGCGAUGCCGCGUGAGUGAAGAAGGCCUUUGGGUUGUAAAGCUCUUUCGUCGGGGAAGAAAAUGACUGUACCCGAAUAAGAAGGUCCGGCUAACUUCGUGCCAGCAGCCGCGGUAAUACGAAGGGACCUAGCGUAGUUCGGAAUUACUGGGCUUAAAGAGUUCGUAGGUGGUUGAAAAAGUUGGUGGUGAAAUCCCAGAGCUUAACUCUGGAACUGCCAUCAAAACUUUUCAGCUAGAGUAUGAUAGAGGAAAGCAGAAUUUCUAGUGUAGAGGUGAAAUUCGUAGAUAUUAGAAAGAAUACCAAUUGCGAAGGCAGCUUUCUGGAUCAUUACUGACACUGAGGAACGAAAGCAUGGGUAGCGAAGAGGAUUAGAUACCCUCGUAGUCCAUGCCGA
rnacentral:rRNA from 1 species